UACGUAGGGUGCAAGCGUUGUCCGGAAUUAUUGGGCGUAAAGAGCUUGUAGGCGGUUUGUCGCGUCUGCUGUGAAAUUUCGGGGCUCAACCCCGAACUUGCAGUGGGUACGGGCAGACUAGAGUGCGGUAGGGGAGCGGGGAAUUCCUGGUGUAGCGGUGAAAUGCGCAGAUAUCAGGAGGAACACCAGUGGCGAAGGCGCCGCUCUGGGCCGUGACUGACGCUGAGGAGCGAAAGCGUGGGUAGCAAACAGG
rnacentral:rRNA from 1 species